rnacentral:rRNA from 1 species
AGGGUUCGAUCAUGGCUCAGGACGAACGCUGGCGGCGUGCUUUAUACAUGCAAGUCAAGGAGAACCUAUUCUUCGGAAUAGUAGUAAACUGGCGAACGGGUGAGUAACACGUAGGUAACCUACCCUAGAGAUUGGGAUAACUUCGGGAAACCGGAGCUAAUACCGAAUGAUGCAGCGGACCCUUUGGGGUACAGUUGUUAAAGCGGGCUUCGGCUCGCACUUUAGGAUGGGCCUGCGGCCGAUUAGCUUGUUGGUGGGGUAAUAGCCUACCAAGGCGAUGAUCGGUAGCUGGUCUGAGAGGAUGAUCAGUCACACUGGGAUUGAGAUACGGCCCAGACCUCUACGGGGGGCAGCAGUAGGGAAUUUUGCGCAAUGGGCGAAAGCCUGACGCAGCAACGCCGCGUGAUCGAUGAAGCUUCUAGGAGCGUAAAGAUCUGUCGUGAGGGAAGAAAAAUUCGGAGGUAAAUAAUUUUCGUUUUUGACGGUACCUCACAAGAAAGCACCGGCUAACUUCGUGCCAGCCGCCGCGGUAAUUC